ACGAACGCUGGCGGCGUGCUUAAUGAAUGCGAGUCGAACGAGAUUCGAUCUGCGUCUUCGGACAAGGAUUGUUGAGAGUGGCGAACGGGUGAGUAACACGUGGGCAACCUGCCUCCAAGACGGGCAUAACAGAGGGAAACUUCUGCUAAUUCCCGAUAUACUGGUACCACACAAGUGAGUAUCAGGAAAGCUUUUGCGCUUGGCGAUGGGCCCGCGGCCGAUUAGCUUGUUGGUGAGGUAAUGGCCCACCAAGGCGACGAUCGGUAGCCGACCUGAGAGGGUGACCGGCCACACUGGGACUGAGACAUGGUCCAGACUCCUACGGGAGUUAGCAUCAGGGAAUCUUGCGCAAUGGGCGAAAGCCUGACGCAGCGACGCCGCGUGUGGGAUGAAGGUCUGCGGAUCGUAAACCACUGUCAGGCGGGACGAAUGAAUGACUGUACCGCCAGAGGAAGCCCCGGCUAACUACGU
rnacentral:rRNA from 1 species